rnacentral:lncRNA from 1 species
GGCCUGCUCAACCCACAUUCUUCUUUGUAAUUAGUCCAGGACAACCAUCCCGAGAACUGUCCUCUCUAGGGUUACAAUGGGUCUUCUCACCUCAAGUAACCUAGUGUACUUCCUCACAGAUGUGCCAGAAAUCUGCUUUUUUGGUGAUUCUCAAUCCUGACUCAUGGGCAAGGUAAACCAUCACAGAUGGUGAUCAAAGAGGCCUGUCCGUAUCCCACAUAAAAAUCACUUAGGUAUCAGUGCCAUAUCAAGCCUUUGCACUUAAAACUAUGUUUUGGUGAGCGUGAUAUCACUUGAUGUAUUUCCUGAGAAAUGCUACCGCAUUCUGUGAACAGGGUUCAGCAGAGGACACCUGGAUUCUCCACACUGAUGUAAGGCUGACACAAUACCCUUGUCAUUUAAUUUAUUUUAAAGUCCGCAAAUGUUGUUUUAAGUCCAAUUAAAGUAAGUUUGCCAUAGCGUUGAAGUCUCCUAGGUGGGAAACCCUUCCUAAUGUGAGCAGUUCAGCACAAAUUCUUUCCAAAUAUUUUUUAGGCAGUCCUCUAACCUCCUCAAACUAGUAGACUUGCAAAGCUUCACUGAUAAAGAUAAAAAGGUAUUGAUCGUUUGUAGCAACACCCAGACUUUGCCUGAUGUAGUCAGUGGCGUGAAAAUCUUGGAAAGUGGUGGUUGCUGCCAGGGGAAAUUCAGUGUUUACUCGGGGUUUCUUCAUUUCCCAUGUGUGUGUGCUUACUGGCCAAGCCAGGAGCACUUAGUCCCACCGAUAGUAACCUCUUACAAAACAGACUUCCUUUAUGCACUGCAAACCCGCAGAAACAGAAACGAAGCAAAUCAGCUAGAUCCGUCUUUCCUUGAAACAGAUGCUCCUAGCUGGGUGUAUUGGGUCAUUCUUUCAUCUGCCUAAGGCCAGCCCGAGUGGGGGGAAGAGGAAUGCUUUGAAUAAGAAUACAAUUGCAGGAAGAUUUUUCAUCAACUAGGGCCUUGCUAACACAGCCAGCUUGAGUUAAGAAUGACGCAUAUCAGGUCCCUGACUAGGACAUCAAAGCUAUUUACCACAGGACCUGGAAGUAAAUCAGAGUCUCCUAAUUUAAAAA